AUUGAACGCUGGCGGCAGGCCUAACACAUGCAAGUCGAGCGGCAGCGCGGGGCAACCUGGCGGCGAGCGGCGAACGGGUGAGUAAUACAUGGGAAUCUGCCUGGUAGUGGGGGAUAACUCUGGGAAACUAGAGGUAAUACCGCAUACGUCCUACGGGAGAAAGCGGGGGAUCUUCGGACCUCGCGCUAUCAGAGGAGCCCAUGUCCGAUUAGCUAGUUGGUGAGGUAAAGGCUCACCAAGGCGACGAUCGGUAACUGGUCUGAGAGGAUGGUCAGUCACACUGGAACUGAGACACGGUCCAGACUCCUACGGGAGGCAGCAGUGGGGAAUAUUGGACAAUGGGGGGCAACCCUGAUCCAGCCAUGCCGCGUGUGUGAAGAAGGCC
rnacentral:rRNA from 1 species